UAGCGAACAAGUACCGCGA
rnacentral:siRNA from 1 species